rnacentral:rRNA from 1 species
UACGUAGGGGGCUAGCGUUGUCCGGAAUCAUUGGGCGUAAAGAGCGUGUAGGCGGCCCGGUAAGUCCGCUGUGAAAGUCGGGGGCUCAACCCUCGAAUGCCGGUGGAUACUGUCGGGCUAGAGUGCGGAAGAGGCGAGUGGAAUUCCUGGUGUAGCGGUGAAAUGCGCAGAUAUCAGGAGGAACACCAAUGGCGAAGGCGGCUCACUGGACCGGAACUGACGCUGAGGCGCGAAAGCGUGGGGAGCAAACAGG